CUACGGGCCGCAGCAGUGAGGAAUUUUGCGCAAUGGGGGCAACCCUGACGCAGCGACGCCUCGUGAAUGAUGAAGUCUUUCGGGAUGUAAAGUUCUGUCAGUGGGGAAGAUUAUGACGGUACCCACAGAGGAAGCACCGGCUAACUACGUGCCAGCAGCCGCGGUAAUACGUAGGGUGCAAGCGUUAUCCGGAUUUAUUGGGCGUAAAGGGUGCGUAGGCUGUUUGGUAAGUUAGAUGUGAAAGCUAUAGGCUCAACCUGUAGUUGCAUUUAAAACUGCCAGGCUAGAGAAUGUCAGAGGAAAGCGGAACUUACGGUGUAGCGGUGAAAUGCGUAGAUAUCGUAAGGAACACCAGUGGCGAAGGCGGCUUUCUGGGGCAUUUCUGACGCUGAUGCACGAAAGCAUGGGGAGCAAACAGGAUUAGAUACCCUGGUAGUC
rnacentral:rRNA from 1 species